CCAAAUUGCAAAUUUCAGGCCCUUACUUCUUAAGGGAAACUAGCCUUUCCCUUCCCUGUCAGCUCACUUCACUGCCACAGUUGUAAAUUAUUCUGAGAUAUCUCCAGAGUCCCUUCUGCUGUGACUAUCUAAAGAUAUCACUUACCUGUUAAAACCCGAGAAUGCUAUUUACUGCAGAAAUCCAGCGGUAGGUCAGCAGAUCAGCUUUGCUCACAAGACUAGGUGAACACCUGAUUCAAAACGACUUCUUUGCCUUUUGCUUCCCCACUCCCAUUCCUAAGAGCAGCAGAGGACUCCUGGCUGAGGACACAAUUGUCUGCCCAUGUAGAUCUCAUAUGCAGGGACCUGACUGACUCUGCGACCAUGACCAAGACCAUAACCUGGUCCCAGCGAGCCUGCACUUGAUGACCUUUUGGGCACAGAUCAAAGCUUGCCGCCAUAUCAGAACAAAUCAGCAUUGCCAGAAGUGCCCCUUCCUGCUGGAGAUGGAGCGGAAAUGCCACCCCCAGCCCUGCCCGUUCUCCCGGGGGAUAUAGGCCCAGCAGCAGUAGCAGAAUUACACGUCUCCCUGGAAUCAAGCCAGACAUGCGGAUGGUUAUUAGCUGGAG